rnacentral:rRNA from 1 species
UACGAAGGGUGCAAACGUUGCUCGGAAUCAUUGGGCGUAAAGCGCACGUAGGCGGCUUGCCAAGUCGGACGUGAAAUCCCUCAGCUCAACUGAGGACGUGCAUCCGAAACUGGCGAGCUUGGGUACUGAAGAGGAUCGCGGAAUUCCCGGUGUAGAGGUGAAAUUCGUAGAUAUCGGGAGGAACACCAGUGGCGAAGGCGGCGAUCUGGGCAGAUACUGACGCUGAGGUGCGAAAGCGUGGGGAGCAAACAGG